AUCUUAUUAAGAGUGGUGGAGGGACUGGCCCUUUGAAGCCCGGCAACCUGAAAAAAAUUUCAUAUAAAUUUUUUCGUUGGUGCUAAAUCCUGCAAGAGAAUAUCUUGAAAAAUGAGAG
rfam:Clostridium sp. Maddingley MBC34-26 contig_278_15, whole genome shotgun sequence.